rnacentral:rRNA from 1 species
GGAUUCCCCUAGUAACUGCGAGUGAAGCGGGAAAAGCUCAAAUUUAAAAUCUGGUAGUCUUCGGCUGCCCGAGUUGUAAUCUAGAGAAGCAUUAUCCGCGCUGGACCGUGUACAAGUCUCCUGGAACGGAGCGUCAUAGAGGGUGAGAAUCCCGUCUUUGACACGGACUACCAGGGCUUUGUGAUGUGCUCUCAAAGAGUCGAGUUGUUUGGGAAUGCAGCUCUAAAUGGGUGGUAAAUUCCAUCUAAAGCUAAAUAUUGGCGAGAGACCGAUAGCGAACAAGUACCGUGAGGGAAAGAUGAAAAGAACUUUGGAAAGAGAGUUAAACAGUACGUGAAAUUGUUGAAAGGGAAACGCUUGAAGUCAGUCGCGUUUGCUGGGGAUCAACCUUGCUUCUUGCUUGGCUUACUUCCCAGUAGACGGGUCAGCAUCAAUUUUGACCGGUGGAUAAAGGCUAAGAGAAUGUGGCAUCUUCGGGUGUGUUAUAGCUCUUGGUCGCAUACAUCGGUUGGGAUUGAGGAACUCAGCACGCCGCAAGGCCGGGUCUUUGACCACGUUCGUGCUUAGGAUGCUGGCAUAAUGGCUUUAAUCGACCCGUCUUGAAACACGGACCAAGGAGUCUAACAUGCCCGCGAGUGUUUGGGUGGAAAACCCGAGCGCGUAAUGAAAGUGAAAGUUGAGAUCCCUGUCGUG